CUAAAUUUACAGAUGAGUUAACUGAUUUCAAAAUCCUAAUUUAUUUUUAAAUUCUACAAACCCAAAUUGGUUGUCACUUUCCCUGUCUUCCACGCCUACCGACAAUGACGAUCGCUGACUGAGAUCCCCUUUCCCUCUCGGUACCCCUCACCCACCUACGCGCGACGAUCGCUGUGUAAUGUGUCGAUUUCUGGACCUUAAAACGCCGAUUGUUAUUUUUGACAGUUCUUUGACUUGGAGUUUCUUCAUGGCCACACUUUAUUCUACACAUGCAACAAUUUUUUUAUUGCUCAUUUCUUCGACAUGGAAUCGUCAAUUGUAAUUUUUUUAUGCCUUACUGUGUUUCCUAUUGAUCUGAGUGAGCCGAAGGCCAAGUCGACCUGCGAAAAUAGCCCAACUCCAGCGAGUCCUUCCUUAGCUAAAACGGCGAGGAUUCAGUCGGCUACCUCACAUACUGUAUACAAUAUGCUGUGAUCGCGGAUCAUUGCUUCCUACGGUGCGGGGUGUGUCGUGAUUAGGCAGGCAAGGAAGAAGAGGUAUUUGGGCAUCUGUGUGGUUGGUUAAACUGACUGAGAUCAGCUUGAUAUUGAGACUCCUUUAUGCUAUUUAUUGGUAUCUUAUGUAACACAUCCAACCAAAUUUACCCUGUAAUUGCACACCAAUUGCUUUAUUUUUAUCUUCUGGAGCACUGUACCCCUGUUGAAAUACUUUGUCUAUGUUGAUACCCUUCAGUUUACGACUACGGUAAAUAUCCCCAAAACUUCUA
rnacentral:lncRNA from 1 species